rnacentral:snRNA from 1 species
UCAAAACUAAUUGGCAAUAA